rnacentral:rRNA from 9 species
CCGCCGUCGCUCUACCGAUUGAAUGGUUUAGUGAGGCCUUCUGAUUGGCGCCGCCGCCCCGGCAACGGAGUAGCGGAUGCCGAGAAGUUGGUCAAACUUGAUCAUUUAGAGGAAGUAAAAGUCGUAACAAGGUUUCCGUAGGUGAACCUGCGGAAGGAUCAUUA